rnacentral:lncRNA from 1 species
CUGCUCUCUAAGGUGCUGGAGGGCACUGUGCUUGUGUUGCCGUCUGGAAGUCUACUUGAGUGUAGUAAAGAUGAGUUAAUGUGAAAUACCUCGUUGGUUCCGUUGCUGCUGGCUUCUUUCUUUCAUUGACUUUUCAAUCUCUCUCCAUUUUGGCACUGUGGGUGAUGCAGUAGGACGGGUGGCAGUGAGCAGACUGGAUGUUGUCUCACAGGAGGCACAGAGAGGUUUGGUGGUCCUGGGACCAUUGUCGUCUCUGUGGAACGACUUGAGUUUCUCCACCUGCCACUGGGCUUCUCAGCACAAUGGUAAGAUUCAGCUCUCGGGCAUGCCUCUCCAUGCCUCAGUGUCAGUGUGAGCCACAGCCACACUCUGUGGGGUCCUGGGGGUACUGGGGACCAGUCCGGCAGAGGACCAGCCAACCAGCAGGGAAGGCAGUGUGAAGACUGUGAGAUGUGUUUCUGGUGUAGGGAGGUCCAACAGAAUCCUCAUAACACCAGGUAGGACAGUGCAAAUGGAAGGUUUGUGUUGGCCUCUUUUGAAUCCAAGUGUGGUCUCCUUACUCGUCUCUAGUAUACAGUCCCUUUACAAGUCAAAAUGUUGAAUAAACGUCAUUUUAAUUUACUCUACCUGUUGUCUGCUGAUUUUGUUCUUCUCCCGUUGAAUAUUUUAGCCAAAAUAUCCACAGGAAAGUAUUAUUAAACCAGCUUCAAAACGCAGGUCUCCAAGUGUGGCUCUCACAAUUUGUUUGAGGCACAUGCACAAGACGUAAGUGUAUACUAUUGGAAGUCUUGCAGGUGUUUACAUGGUUUUGCACGUGUCAGGUGAUAGAAAUCUGAAUGGCAGUACUAGUGUUUUGAAAAGUCAGUUUAAUAAUCCUGUGGAUAUUUUUUCUCAAAUUUGUAGAUGCAUAAGGACCAACAGCACAGAAAACCAGUAGACAACUGGUAGUUUAAAUGUCAUUUAUUCAACAUUCUGGCUUGUAGCUCUUGUGAGAGAACAUUUUCCAGACAAAUGUACAGCAUUGUCUCAGAGGUAUCAGUCUGAUGUAUUAGAUUUGUGUAUAACGCAUUAUUCCUAAUGCUUGGAGAGAGAAGUGUAUAGCACUGAGCAGAAGGGAUGUAUCUCUGUUGACGGGCCCUGUCUGAAAUGUUAUUGUUAGCCUUGGGUCUGCAGAGACCAUACAUGCUUACUAUGAACUGUAUGUAAUGUAUGCACAUGUUAAUAUAUGUAAUGUAAAAUAUUGUGCAUGAAUGUGUUUGCAUAAUAUUAUGUAUAUGAGUUGGGUCUUUAUACGAGCUUGGUCUAUAAAGAGUCCACAAAGAACAUGCGUAUUUGUGUAGUGUGUGUGUGUACUUGUGUGUUUGCUUGUUUGCGCCUGUUCAUGUGUGUGUCUUGUGUACGCUGAUGCGAAGACUGAUGUUUCUGGGUUAAUGAAUACAUAAGGUAAGCUAGUCAAGCAGAAGGAGAGAGAUGCAACCAUGCGUUUUCCCCAGGCAUUAGCUUUCAUCUUCAAUACAGAACAACCCAUCUUGCUUUUUACUGUGAUGCCAGUAGAAGUCAAGCUCAACCCUGAUAGUUUGAAGGAUGCCUUUGUGUGAUGCUAACAUCACAUAAUAGAUACUUUGUCCACAGUAUCCUUAACUGGGGUGUGUUGUCUUUAGCAAAUGUGCUGUGAUGUGCCCUUCUAGAUGUGUUUAUAUUAUGGGACUUAUCAUCUGUUAAUUUAG